rnacentral:rRNA from 1 species
UACGAAGGGUGCAAGCGUUAAUCGGAAUUACUGGGCGUAAAGCGUGCGUAGACGGUUAUAUAAGUCGGGUGUGAAAGCCCCGGGCUCAACCUGGGAAUUGCAUUCGAGACUGCAUAGCUAGGGUGCGGAAGAGGGAAGCGGAAUUUCCGGUGUAGCGGUGAAAUGCGUAGAUAUCGGAAGGAACAUCAGUGGCGAAAGCGGCUUCCUGGUCCAGCACCGACGUUCAGGCACGAAAGCGUGGGGAGCAAACAGG